UACGUAGGGGGCAAGCGUUGUCCGGAAUCAUUGGGCGUAAAGAGCGUGUAGGCGGCCAGAUAAGUCCGCUGUGAAAUCUCGAGGCUCAACUUCGAGCUGUCGGUGGAAACUGUCUGGCUAGAGUCCGGAAGAGGAGAAUGGAAUUCCUGGUGUAGCGGUGAAAUGCGCAGAUAUCAGGAAGAACACCAAUGGCGAAGGCAGGCUCUCGUGGGACGGUACUGACGCUGAGACGACGAAGCGUGGGGAGCGAACAGG
rnacentral:rRNA from 1 species